UUUUAAACUUAUACAAUUACAUUUUUACAGAGUAAGUGUCACAGAAGGGACGACAUUCAGUUCAGUAAUAUAACAGGACGUCAGGCUUGGAGACUGGAGACGGAUACCACAGACAGCAAACAGGAUGAAGACUAAACGAGGAACCAGGAGACACCUCACUAGGAGAGACACUGGA
rnacentral:lncRNA from 1 species